rnacentral:lncRNA from 1 species
GUUUUGAUUAAUGUAAUAAGCAAGUUGAGUUGGACACUUAUUGUUUCAUUUUUAUGUAUGUUCUCCAAAUUUAUCAAAUUUUGGAAUUGUUUAUGAUCUUGGCAUCUUAUUUGAUAUCUACUUUGAAUUUUGUCUCAAUAGGGAAAGUUAUAUCUGUUAUUCCUUCUUUCUGGUCUGUACUCAUUGCUCAUUGUUUUUUUCACUUCGAUCAUUGCUUAUUGUUUGAUGAUGUUUCUAUUAAUUUUUAAUUUAAUACAGGGGUUCAUUUUGAUCCCUUAAGCUAUA